GCUCUUGGCUGCUCAGUAGUCAGUGUAGAAUCUGUCUGACAGUCUUGCUAACAAACAGCUACAUCUGAUUACUGGGUCACCAAAGGGUGAC
rfam:Podiceps cristatus contig83946, whole genome shotgun sequence.